GACGAACGCUGGCGGCGUGCCUAAUACAUGCAAGUUGAGCGCUGAAGGUUGGUACUUGUACCAACUGGAUGAGCAGCGAACGGGUGAGUAACGCGUGGGGAAUCUGCCUUUGAGCGGGGGACAACAUUUGGAAACGAAUGCUAAUACCGCAUAAAAACUUUAAACACAAGUUUUAAGUUUGAAAGAUGCAAUUGCAUCACUCAAAGAUGAUCCCGCGUUGUAUUAGCUAGUUGGUGAGGUAAAGGCUCACCAAGGCGAUGAUACAUAGCCGACCUGAGAGGGUGAUCGGCCACAUUGGGACUGAGACACGGCCCAAACUACUACGGGAGGCAGCAGUAGGGAAUCUUCGGCAAUGGACGAAAGUCUGACCGAGCAACGCCGCGUGAGUGAAGAAGGUUUUCGGAUCGUAAAACUCUGUUGGUAGAGAAGAACGUUGGUGAGAGUGGAAAGCUCAUCAAGUGACGGUAACUACCCAGAAAGGGACGGCUAACUACGUG
rnacentral:rRNA from 1 species